ACCCGCUGAACUUAAGCAUAUCAAUAAGCGGAGGAAGAGAAACCAACAGGGAUUACCUCAGUAACGGCGAGUGAAGCGGUAACAGCUCAAAUUUGAAAUCUGGCCUCUCGGCCCGAGUUGUAAUUUGUAGAGGAUGCUUCGAGCAUGGUCCGGCCUAAGUUCCUUGGAACAGGACGUCAUAGAGGGUGAGAAUCCCGUAUACGGCCGGGUGCCUACGCUCUUGUGAAGCUCCUUCGACGAGUCGAGUUGUUUGGGAAUGCAGCUCAAAAUGGGUGGUAAAUUUCAUCUAAAGCUAAAUACUGGCCAGAGACCGAUAGCGCACAAGUAGAGUGAUCGAAAGAUGAAAAGCACUUUGGAAAGAGAGUUAAACAGUACGCGAAAUUGUUGAAAGGGAAGCGCUUGCGACCAGACUUGCGUGCGGCCGAUCAUCCGGUGUUCUCACCGGUGCACUCGGACGUGCUCAGGCCAGCAUCGGUUUUGGCGGCUGGAUAAAGGCCCUAGGAAUGUGGCUCCUCUCGGGGAGUGUUAUAGCCUAGGGUGCAAUGCAGCCUGCUGGGACCGAGGACCGCGCUCCGGCUAGGAUGCUGGCGUAAUGGUCGUAAGCGGCCCGUCUUGAAACACGG
rnacentral:rRNA from 1 species